AGUAGAAUGGCUGAGAUUAGGCGAUAAAUUGUAAAUUUAUUUACGAAUAAAAAUUCUUCUACUA
rnacentral:tRNA from 1 species